rnacentral:rRNA from 1 species
AUAGGUGACAGGUGCUGCAUGGGCUGUCGUCAGCUCGUGUCGUGAGAUGUUGGGUUAAGUCCCGCAACGAGCGCAACCCUCGCCUUUAGUGCCAGCAUUUAGUUGGGUACUCUAAAGGAACCGCCGGUGAUAAGCCGGAGGAAGGUGGGGAUGACGUCAAGUCCUCAUGGCCCUUACGCGUUGGGCUACACACGUGCUACAAUGGCGACUACAGUGGGCAGCUAUCCCGCGAGGGUGAGCUAAUCUCCAAAAGUCGUCUCAGUUCGGAUUGUUCUCUGCAACUCGAGAGCAUGAAGGCGGAAUCGCUAGUAAUCGCGGAUCAGCAUGCCGCGGUGAAUACGUUCCCAGGCCUUGUACACACCGCCCGUCACACCAUGGGAGUUGGUUUCACCCGAAGGCAGUGCGCUAACCGCAAGGAGGCAGCUGACCACGGUGGGAUCAGCGACUGGGGUGAAGUCGUAACAAGGUAGCCGUAGGGGAACCUGCGGCUGGAUCACCUCCUUUCUG